rnacentral:rRNA from 1 species
UACGGGGGGGAGCAAGCGUUGUUCGGAUUUACUGGGCGUAAAGGGCGCGUAGGCGGUCAGCACAAGUCAGUUGUGAAAUCUCCGGGCUUAACUCGGAAAGGUCAACUGAUACUGUGCGACUAGAGUGCGGAAGGGGCAACUGGAAUUCUUGGUGUAGCGGUGAAAUGCGUAGAUAUCAAGAGGAACACCUGCGGCGAAGGCGGGUUGCUGGGCCGACACUGACGCUGAGGCGCGAAAGCGUGGGGAGCGAACAGG